GAAUAUCCCAGGACUCUUCCUUGUAUCUGAUUUUGUUAGUGGUGAAGAAGAACAGGUACAAACAUUGUUCUGUCCUGGUCACAAUAUCAAUCUUCUCAUUUUGUUGUAUUUUCCCGUUUCAAUUCAAUAUGUCUAGCUAUUAAACUACACAUAAAACCAACCAAUAUUACAAUAAAUAAAAAGAAAACGAUCUAUUGCAACGAUGGGCAACUUGCAAUACCACACCAUAACUCUCAUGGUUGGAUUCUGCUGUCUACAAGAACGGAACUGGUUAUUGAGUCUUCAUGUGUACCUUACUAG